GACGAACGCUGGCGGCGUGCUUAACACAUGCAAGUCGAACGGAAAGGCCCUGCUUUUGUGGGGUGCUCGAGUGGCGAACGGGUGAGUAACACGUGAGUAACCUGCCCUUGACUUUGGGAUAACUUCAGGAAACUGGGGCUAAUACCGGAUAGGAGCUCCUGCUGCAGGGUGGGGGUUGGAAAGUUUCGGCGGUUGGGGAUGGACUCGCGGCUUAUCAGCUUGUUGGUGGGGUAGUGGCUUACCAAGGCUUUGACGGGUAGCCGGCCUGAGAGGGUGACCGGCCACAUUGGGACUGAGAUACGGCCCAGACUCCUACGGGAGGCAGCAGUGGGAAAUAUUGCACAAUGGGCGGAAGCCUGAUGCAGCAACGCCGCGUGCGGGAUGACGGCCUUCGGGUUGUAAACCGCUUUCGCCUGUGACGAAGCGUGAGUGACGGUAAUGGGUAAAGAAGCACCGGCUAACUACGUG
rnacentral:rRNA from 1 species